rnacentral:lncRNA from 1 species
AGUCAUUCUUCUGGCAAACAUACGUGGAGGCCCUCCUGUGUAGCAGACCCUUCACCAUGCCCUGGAGAUGCUGGGGUGCGACAAUAAAGUAGGCUUCUCCCAUGAUGAACCUCACGGUUGGAGGCAUCUGUCCACCCAUGUGGUUCCAGACACGUUCAUGUGGCCACCAAGACCCCGUCGGCAUCACAGGAGUAACCAAGAGAGCAGCAAGUUCCUGGGACAGAGGAGAGAGAAGGGAAUUUCCAGGUUCUUCAGGACGUUCACAACCACACUGAGAAGCAUCUUUGCAGAUAAGUAUUUAAACUUACCAGCCCAUAGCCUACCAGCCUGCCCUCUUCUGGUCUGUGCAGGAAAGUGUAGUAUCCUAGAAUACCAAAGUGGGAGGGGAAACGGGUGAUGUAGCUCAUUCUCUUUUCUACCUCUAUGGAAGAAAGAAAGAGCCUGUCCCCAUUUUGUGGGGUCCCAGAAAGGGUGAUUUUUCACACUCCACAUUUGGCAUUAGGGCUAGUAUUUUAUAAACGUCACUGUAUGGAACUUUUGAAGGCUGAGUUAAAUGACUUCAUCUUGUGUACUUGUAGAA